rnacentral:lncRNA from 1 species
AAAUGGAAAGAAAUCGUGGCCUAUCGAGGGGCAAACCACGGCCGUCCGAGGUCGUGGAUGAGGAGGAUGAGGGAGAAGACGAAAAUGGUGGAGGGCAAAAUGGUCAUUUUUCACACCGUACCCCCUCUGUGCAUAUUUUUUAUUUUAUAAGGGGGCAAAGCGUAGGUUUUUAAAUAACAGGAGGGAAAAGUGAAAAAGCGAAUUUUGACAGGGGGAUUUUAUGUAAUUUAGCCUAAUUCUUUUAUGUUUACCUCAUAAAUAAUCUCGACCUUGUUAAUGAAAAAAUCUAGAAUGCACCAGGAAUAUUACUGAUGUGGCGUCCCCAAUUAAUAAAAUUAUUCCCCUUGGGUUGAUACGUCCCAUCAUGAUUAAUAAAAAAAUAUUUUUAUUGUACUUUUUUUUUUUUUUUUUCAAAUAGAGAGAUAUGAUUGACUUGUUACUGAUGAUUAUGUGGUAUAAGUGUGAUAUAGUAAACUUCCUCCUUAUUAAUUCGAUCUCUCUUUGUGUGACACAAAAAGUUAAGAUUUAAAAGAGAGAGAGAGAAAGGGAGAGUAUAAUUAAUGUUUCUCAGGUUUGAUCUCUCAUAAUCAUAUAGUUAAGUAGCAAUUACAAUACAUUCCCUUGCAAUAAUAAUCUUUUCCUGUGCUUGUUUACUAGUCAUUGUCUAAGAAUCAUGAGCUUAUAACAGCCUGAGAAUUGGCUGACUCAGAUGAUUAGGAUCCAGUUGGAAAAAGACCAAAAGGAGGGGGGAAAAAAAUCAUUAGGUUUUAAGUUUUAACCUAAUCUUGUCACCAUUAGAUUGGUCCUUACAUUCUUAACAAAAAAAAGAAAAAAAAGAAAAUUCUAAUUAUAUUUUCUAACAUUGUUUGUCAUCAUCUAUCAUUUGGACAUACUCAAUAGGUGGAUACAAUUUUAAAGGUGUAGGUGCAGGGAAACAUGGACAAAUUCUCUCUACAUUCUUCAUUCAUCAUGCUUUAGUUAGCAAAUAUACUUAAUUUUUCUUUUUUUUUUUUGAGAGAUAGGUAGCACGCUACCCGCUUCGUUUAUUUCAUUUAGAAAUAAACUUAGCUAGAAAUGUAAAUAAACUAGGAUUCGAACUUGGGUCUCGGGUACCAACCACCAAACCCUUUAUCAUUUGCUCUAGGGACGGUCGGUAGCAAAUACACUUAAUUAUUUGCACUUAGGUGUGUCCUAAGUUCCUAACCUGAAUAAACACCAACAUGGAAAGAUCUUUCUAUGUUCUCUUUCCUUUUCUUUCACAAGACACCUCUCUCUCUCUCUCUCUCUCUCUCUCUCUCUCUCUCUCUCUCUCUGCGCGCGCGUGCGUACAUGCACAUGCAAGCAUGCAUGUAUGGAAAGUCCUCUUAGGGAUCUAUAUGUGUCUAUCACAAACAGAUCACUACAUGUAACUUUUGAAUUGAUUUCAAUAGACAAUAUUUUGAUAAUUUAUCAAGUAGAUGAGUUUUUAUGUCCGUGGUUUCGUCUAAUUGGAUUAACCAAUCCUAUGUGCUGAGUGAGUUACAGGAAGAGAGAGUCUCUAGACCAUGUCAUUAAUACUCCAAAUUAAUUAGUAAGAAAACCAUAGUGGGUCAUGAUUAAGCACCAUUUAGUGACUAAUUGUGUCAUAGUCCUACUCUAAUGCUCGUCACAUUUGCCUUUUCCCUCAUCUAUUUUCACACAUAGUAUGCCCUAGGAAUCCCCAGGAAGAGAUUUUUGUUGUUAAAAAUUGCAAAAGAGACCAAAAAUGAGUUGAUUUUAGAUGAUAGGUGCCACCUAAUAUUUGUCCUUUGGAAUGUCAUUUUAUCGCCGAGGCUUUUCGCUUGGUUUGUCUCACUAAUUAUUGUUUCUUCUCUCUAGAUUCUGAUGUGAUCUGAAUUUACGGAUCUUUAAUUAAUUGUAAGUGCUUUCUUAGUAAAUACAAAAGGAUGAGUCAUUUAAAGCUAUAAGAAGUUUGUAAAUUCGUUUAGAAUCAUAAUUGGAUUGCUUUACAGAAAUCGAAUAUAUAUAUUCAUCAAAAACAAGCGCACAGCUUUAACUUAAGCUCAAACUCAAAGUCCUUUAAUCUUUAAUCUUAAGUCAAAUUCAAACUGUUACAAAUGAGUUGAUUAAGACAUCUUGGAAGUACUGAUUAAUGGUACUUAGUUUUUUUUAUAUAGAGAGAGACUUUAAUUUGAUGAAAAAUACAUUGCAAAACCUCUAUAUAAUUAAUUAACAUCCUUGAAUUAUGCUACUAUACUAUCAAUAGUAUCAAGUCCUUGGUACUAUUGAGUUUUCGGCCGUUGGAUGAAAGGAUGUGCGGUUAGGAUGAUAGUGGUCCCCGAUUAAAUUGAUAGUGGUCCCCUAGGGUUGAGUGGGUGGUUGGUUUAAUAGUAUAAUCUAACGGUUGGAAAUGAUCAAAGGGUAGAUCUAAUUGUAGAAAACUCAAUAAUACCAAGGGCUUGGUACUAUCGAUAGUAUAGUAGCCGGACUCUCUCUCUCU